rnacentral:rRNA from 1 species
UGAGGAAUAUUGGACAAUGGAUGGAAAUCUGAUCCAGCCAUGCCGCGUGCAGGAAGACGGCCCUAUGGGUUGUAAACUGCUUUUGUAUGGGAGCAAUAAGGACUACGUGUAGUUUGAUGAGAGUACCAUACGAAUAAGCAUCGGCUAACUCCGUGCCAGCAGCCGCGGUAAUACGGAGGAUCCGAGCGUUAUCCGGAUUUAUUGGGUUUAAAGGGUGCGUAGGCGGAAAGAUAAGUCAGCCUGUGAAAGUUUGCGGCUCAACCGUAAAAUUGCAGUUGAUACUGUUUUUCUUGAGUGUACAUAAGGUAGGCGGAAUUCGUGGUGUAGCGGUGAAAUGCUUAGAUAUCACGAAGAACUCCGAUUGCGCAGGCAGCUUACUAAACCACUACUGACGCUCAUGCACGAAGGCGUGGGGAUCAAACA